CAGUAGCCGCGGGAAUACGAAGGGUGCAAGCGUUAAACGGAAUUACUGGGCGUAAAGGGUGCGUAGGCGGUUGUUUAAGUCUGUUGUGAAAUCCCCGGGCUCAACCUGGGAAUGGCAAUGGAAACUGGACGGCUAGAGUGUGUCAGAGGAUGGUGGAAUUCCCGGUGUAGCGGUAAAAUGCGUAGAGAUCGGGAGGAACAUCAGUGGCGAAAGCGGCUCACUGGACCAUAACUGACGCUGAGGCACGAAAGCUAGGGGAGCAAACAGGAUUAGAUACCCCGGUAGUCCCUGUCUCUUAUAC
rnacentral:rRNA from 1 species